UAGGGAAUCUUCGGCAAUGGGGGGGACCCUGACCGAGCAACGCCGCGUGAGUGAAGAAGGUUUUCGGAUCGUAAAGCUCUGUUGUUAAGGAAGAACGAGUGUGAGAAUGGAAAGUUCAUACUGUGACGGUACUUAACCAGAAAGGGACGGCUAACUACGUGCCAGCAGCCGCGGUAAUACGUAGGUCCCGAGCGUUGUCCGGAUUUAUUGGGCGUAAAGCGAGCGCAGGCGGUUAGAUAAGUCUGAAGUUAAAGGCAGUGGCUCAACCAUUGUAGGCUUUGGAAACUGUUUAACUUGAGUGCAGAAGGGGAGAGUGGAAUUCCAUGUGUAGCGGUGAAAUGCGUAGAUAUAUGGAGGAACACCGGUGGCGAAAGCGGCUCUCUGGUCUGUAACUGACGCUGAGGCUCGAAAGCGUGGGGAGCGAACAGGAUUAGAUACCCUGGUAGUCCACGCCGUAACGAUGAGUGCUAGGUGUUAGGUCCUUUCCGGGACUUAGUGCCGCAGCUAACGCAUUAAGCACUCCGCCUGGGGAGUACGACCGCAAGGUU
rnacentral:rRNA from 1 species